ensembl:lncRNA
UUAGUCAUUAGUCCGUGGAGUUGUUUAUUUAUUGACCAUUUGCAACUCUUCCCUCCAUCACCACCUUUUCCCUCCCUAUGUUUCCAGCAAAGUCACUGGCAGCCUGUUCUGCUUCUCUGUCCCACCCCAUCCCAUCAUAUAAUCUCUUACAUCGGUCCCUUCUACCUAAACUCAGUCCUUCAAGUGCCUCUUCAUUUCAGGAAUGGACCCAUCUUUCGCUGGUGGAAGGGUGACUCCCUGGAGGUUAGUGAAGAAUUAGAAAUAAUUUAAUUUACCUCCCUGUUCGGGUGCUUUGAUGAGCUGAAAGGCCCCUUGUCAGGAAGCAAAUCCAUCUUCUUCCAGCCUUACAUCAAAUUUCAUUCACUAAUUAGAAACUCCUGCCCUAGACCAUGCUGCCCCCACCCCGGCCACCCCUUCUCCCCACCAGCACCAUUAUGAAAAUAAAUUGUUCCAUUAGCUGCAUUGUUGUGGCUGUGGGGCCCAGUGCUGGGAGUUAUUAGAGCAGGAGGGAGGGCGUUGGAUUAAGACAAAUGAUUUAUUACGGAAAAGGGCCCUGAUUAGAUUCUUACUCGUCCCCAGCGUGUGGCUGCAUACUCACACACCCCUACCCCGACGCCCCCUGUGGCACCACACAGCGGCCCGUGGCAGUCAGUGCCGGAUGGUGGUGAGGUUUCUCCCGGGGCUGGAUCCUGCUGACUGCUCUCAGAGCACUGGGAGUCCCAGCUCGUACUGAGACAUGAGGUAGCAACUGAUGCCAGCUGCCCCCUGCAUUGCCCCGAGCUGCCCCUGCCUGCUUCUCAUUUCUUUGCAGGGUGGGGACCACCAGCAUCACCCCCAGUUCUGCCAGUUCUGCAGCAGGGACCCACUGUGGGUACUGAGUGUGUCCUGGUGCCUGGGGAGGGGAGAAGGGAAAGGAUGGCUUUGACGUGUUAGCUGAGUACCCCACACUGCGGGAGUGGGAGUUAAGCGUGUCCCACCAGCAGGAGGGUUGGCAGCGUUCACCCUGUGUGGUGGGAGAGGCUGUCAGGCCCCUCCAAGGGUCCGGAGUACUCUCUGCACCUGGCAGAUGUGGGGUGGGCAUGGCUGCAGGGGUGGGUAUGCCUGCAGAGGUGGGCACUGCCACGGUGUGCCCAUGUCCUGCUGUCUUCACAUUGCCUUGCUGUCACUAUAGCAACAUGUACCCUCCAGCUUAUUCCUGGAGGGGACAGAGAUCAGGGACACGGGGACAUGUGAGUGCUCCUGGGAUAUAAAGGAUACAAGCUGAAAAUGAAGUAAAUCGUGGCAUCGGAUGGUGAUUCUGAGAGCUGGUGGGUGUCUGGUGGGCGUCCAGUGCGAUGGUGGGCAGGUGUCUGUCCGGGGCAUAUAGGUAUGUGUAGGGGGCGGGAUGCCUGCAUCUGGCUGUGUCCGCGGUGUCCAUACAGGCGCAGCAGGCUCUGGUUGACACCCAGAGGCUGUUGCCUGCUAAAACACCUCCGUCCCUGCCCGGGACAAGCUGCCACGCACAGGCGGAGGGGUUCUGCAGCACCUGUAGUGGGGGGAUGUUCCCUCCGUUGCUGUCACACAGGUGCCGCGGUUGAGAGAGGGGCAAGAGGUGGGGGGCUGGGGAAGAAGGGGGAGGUGGAGGAGGAGUUCGGGGUGCAGGAUGGGCUCAGCAGCACACAUCACACUGCCCCCGGGGCUUUGGGGGGACGGUGUGUUGGGACAGCCCGGUUCCCCCGGUAAUAGCGCUGCAGAGAGCGGGGUCCUGCCCGGCUCCCGGAGCAGCAGCACUCCGAAAAGCCACCAGGGCUAGUCCGGCUAAAGCAGGAGAGAGCGGGGGACAGGUCCCUGUCCCUGCCGGCCCGGUGGGGCAGCCGCUCCCACAAUUUUUGUAGGGCGGCUAUGGGUCGGUCAUCCCUCGCUGGGAGGAGGGUCCCUGCAAGCUGCUGUACCGAUGUCCGCAGGCACAGAUAUUUUGGGGUGACAGCCCCCCCUCCCAAUCACGUCAGAGCCAGGGCCAUGGGGAUGUGACUGGACCCAGACGAUGGGGACAUGCCACCACCAUGCCCGCAGACGUGGCCCCUCUGCAGGGCAGCUUUGGCAGUGUCCCACCCUGCUGUCGUGGCACUCCGAACUGCCCCGAGCAGGGGAUUCUUUCAGCCCCAAGCCCCGAUGCUCCCCUGCCGCGGCAGAAGGCCGGGGAGUGAGGGACAGACGGGAGGGGCGGGGACGGGCACCAUGUCCCCCCUUGUUAACAGCGCCGGACCCUGUAGCCUUUUCAAGGCUCUGAAUAGGGGGUGGUACCUGUCUUCUGCUGAAUUAGAGGCCGGGGGUUGUCGGAGCUGGUUUAACACGCUCAGACAGGGUUGGAAGGAUGGUGAAGGGGGACAUGCUACCCCAGAUGGGAACAUGUGGGGGGUGUCUCCUGUCGCCACAUGCCCUUCCUCUCCCUCCCACCCACCAUUUAUAUGGUAAUGAGGACAAAUUGAUGGAGAGACAUCCAUUGUGGGACCCUCCAGCCCGGCCCUUCUGCCGGCCACCCACCAGCAUCCCCAUCCAUCACUGCCCAGCUGGGAGCACCCCUCGCCUGGCACUGGCACGCUGGGAGAUGGGAUUGCUUCAUGUGCCCACCGGCAGUGGGGCAGCUCCCAGGCUGUCCUGGUGCUCCGGGGGCUGAGUGACAAGACAGAGGAUGACAUCCAGGCA